GACGAACGCUGGCGGCGUGCUUAACACAUGCAAGUCGAACGGAAAGGCGCUGCUUUUGUGGGGUGCUCGAGUGGCGAACGGGUGAGUAACACGUGAGUAACCUGCCCUUGACUUUGGUAUGACUUCAGGAAUCUGGGGCUAGUUCCCGAUUGGAGCCCGUGCUUCAUGGCGGGGGUUGGAAAGUUUCGGCGGGUGGGGAUGGACUCGCGGCUUAUCAGCUUGUUGGUGGGGUAGUGGCUUACCAAGGGAUUGACGGGUAGCCGGCCUGAGAGGGUGACCGGCGACCUUGGGCCUGCGAUACGGCCCAGACUCCUACGGGAGGCAGUAGUGGAGAAUCUUGCACAAUGGGCGGAAGCCUGAUGCAGCAACGCCGCGUGCGGGAUGACGGCCUUCGGGUUGUAAACCGCUUUCGCCUGUGACGAAGAGUGAGUGACGGUAAUGGGUAAAGAAGCCCCGGCUAACUACGUG
rnacentral:rRNA from 1 species